AGAACAGGCACAACUAAGUGCCAGCAACCAUUGGAGAAAGCAGACCGGGCCCAUUCUUCGGUCCUGAAGACAGCAAACAAAGGCUGAGCAGAAGUCUUUGCAGAUUGUAGAGAUGCAUUCCUCUUCGCUAGAUCUCUCCAAGCUCCUGAACCACUGAACAUCCUUGCAAAUUGUGUUGGGAAAGGAGAUCCCGUUGAUGGCUGCAGAGGCUGAAGAAGGGAUGCGUGGGAGCAUCUUCUCCAUCUUCAUUGCUGCGUGGCUCUUUGCUGUUACUGUAUGUUUCUUGGUUUUGUGUACUGUCUGCCAAAGGAAAAACAGAACUCCUGCUCCAGAUGGUGAAUUGCUAGCUGAAGCA